AUUAAUGCAUUACAGACAGAAAGGAAAAAAUGGAUUGGGUAGGUCAGUUAUUGUAAAACUAAAGUAGUUAAGUUUCAUAUUUCUUGACAAAGAAACUUUGCUGGGUGCUGGUGGAACAAGGACAGAAAUAAUUUAAUUCAGCUGGCACAUUCUGCGUCUGCAAAUAAACCAAAACAUACGCACAGCGCUCCACAUUGUUGCCUGUCAUCCUAUUAUAUGUCUUUAUCAUCUCUUUCUUGAACUACAAUAAUCUAGCUGGGUCCUUUGCUUCCACUUGUCCCUUUAUAAUUCUUCAGACAGUGACCUUUUUUAAAACAAAUCAGACCAUGUUAUUUUUUUGUUUAAAGUUUUCUAUGUCCUUUCAAUAAAAACCAACCUCUGAUCAUGGCCCCAGUUUUCUGCACAAAUGUUCUAGUCCACUUGAUAAUAGUCUUUCUUAACUUCUUUUAUCAUUCUUGGCUUAAGGAUCUUUUUGUAUGUUUUUUUUUAUUCCAACUUGACUUUUUCCUCUAGAUCUUUGUUAAGCUGAUUUCUUCUAAUUAUUUAGAUUCCUGCUUAAAAUAUCACCUUCUCAGAGAAAUGUUUCUUGUCAGCUAUCUAAGUUGCUUCCCCCUUUUUACUGUCAUUCGGAAGUAGAACACAGUAUUUUAGUUUCUUGGUAGCAUUUCCUAGGUCAUAAUUUUUUUAUUUACUAAUAUUUUUAUUCUCACUGGAAAUAUUCACCAUGAUACUAGAAACCUUGCCUAUAUUUUUACCUUCUUACUCUCAGUCUAUAGGAUGAAAUCUAGUAUGUCAUACAAUCUUUGCUUAUUAAAUAUUUGAAAGAAUAAAUGCAGAAAUCCUCUGUCAUCAGAGGUGAUCAGUUUUUCUACGUAAUCUAAAAGGUGUAAAAAGAUCAACAAAUUUAUUCAAUUAACUAUUAUGUUUUGAACUCUAAUGGAAUAAACACAUUCUUAAUCAUUCCUUGAACUUUAUACUAAUGUAUAUUAAAGUUUUAGUAGUCAAUGUGUAUUUUGGUAGCUUAUAUUAAUAUUUAGCAUAUUACCAAUAUUUUCUAAUUUAUCUGGUUCUGUCAUCAUUUAUUCCUGAAAAGCAGCUAAUACUUCUCAAGCUGGCUAUGAGCCAAUGCAUUUAAAAGAGGAGACUCUCACAUCUCUUUAUUCCUGAUUUCAAAUGUAUAUACACACAUAUAUAUUUUUAAAAAUUAUAUUAUAUUAAAAAAUUCAAAGGAAAUAAUUGUUCAUUUGAAUUUUUUAAUAUUGUUGAUCUUUUUUCAAAAUGUUUUUCUUUCCAAAUCACUUUUUACUUAGGCUCCACUUAUAGUCCCUAAUAUCCACCCAGACUCCUUUUAUAGCUAUGAACCAAAGUCUUCAGAAUAUCUCAAUAAUUUUACCAUGUUUUUUAUUGUAGUCUCUCUUCUUCCUAUUUCUCAAUCUGUUCUAAAUCACAACCUAUUUGUACCAAUUUCUUAUUCAAUCACAUUUAUGUCUUCCUUUGCUUACAGGGACAAUUUUCUAUACAUAAGGAUGAUAUUCAAAAUCUCUUCACCUAAUUGGUCUUCUCUACCAAACUAAACAUCACUAUUUUUCAAACGAUUCUCUCCUAUUGACCACCGAACACAUCAUAUCUAGAAUUACUACAAAACAAUCCUAAUAAAUUGGUCUUCCUUCUUUGAAUAGCAAUAAUCCCAAUUACUGGAUUGGAAAAUUUAAAUUAUAUGUUACAAUGCCUUAUUAUCUCACUCUUUAUAUGUUUUCUUCCCCAGCUACAUGAAAAGCUAUUACACAGCUAUUAUUUUGACUUAUACUUGUUUUGCUGCUUUUUUUUUUUUUUUUUGAGACGGUGUCUCGCUCUGUCGCUCAGGCUGGAGUGCAGUGGCGUGAUCUUAGCUCACUCUUGUUUUGCAUUUUUUAUGUGACUAGCACACAAUGCUUACAACUCUAGCCACUUAAUUCAUUUUGCUUCAAAGUGUGAAUGAAUACAAUUUAUUACCAUGUAAACUGGCUAAAUAAUCACUCAUAAUUUUUGUCCUCAUAAGGGACAAACAGCUAUAAUAUAAAGUUACGAUAUUUCCCAUAUGUCCUUGAAGUGAAGGUGGCCAUGUGACUCAACUUGGCCCAAAGGAGCAAUAUGGAGAGAUAGUGGAAAUAAUAUGUCCCGCCUCAAGGCAAGGCUCACAUAAACGUAUGCAUGAUUUUCAAACUCUUUUCCUUCCUAGCAAGCUUGAUGUUAAUGAUAAUGAUAAAUUUUUGGAAGCCAUACAUUAAAGAUGAAGAAAAAUAUGGAAAUAGCUCAAGUUACCUCCCCAACAUUAAAACAAACAACCCUCAGAGAAAAUUCACCAGUUAACGAGGAACUAGAAUUUUGAACGCACUGUGAAAAAAACUAAAACAAAAGCAAACAAACAAAUAAAACUUCUACCAAGUUUGAGC
rnacentral:lncRNA from 1 species